UACCCGCAGCUCAAGUGGUGGUCAUUAUUAUUGGGCCUAAAGCGUCCGUAGCAGGCUUGUUAGAUGCCUGGGUAAAUCGAUGCGCUUAACGCAUCGAAUUCCGGGUAGACCGGCAAGCUCGAGACCGGGAGAGGUGUAGGCUACUCGAGGGGUAGGGGUAAAAUCCUGUAAUCCUUCGGGGAGGACCAGUGGCGAAGGCGCUACACUAGACCGGCUCUGACUGUGAGGGACGAAGCCCUGGGGAGCAAACCGG
rnacentral:rRNA from 1 species